AGCGGAUACUUACACGACGAGUCGAGUUCAGCCAAUAAGAGACGUGUCCAUGACAGAAAUACUAAAGUAGCAUGUCAAUCAAUAACCGAGGUACCGAUCCCACUGUCAGGCGUCAAGCGAUCUGGUGUUUUUAAGGUUUUUUAUAUGUAGGCUAUAUGGCCAUCAAGGCGCAGUCAUUUCACUUAUAAUAGUGUAGAGCUCAUACUGGUGUAUAAAAAGCCUGCGCUCCUCUGUGUCACCUCAAGAUAACCUGGAGGAGGAAAUCAGAGGGGAAUUACUAAUCUCACAACAGAUGUCAGAUGUGCUAGAAAAAAAUUCCACUUAGUUCCAAAAGUUCCAGCACCCUAAAUAAUUUCCUUGGUUUGGGGAAGGACAACUCCACUAAAAAAAGGUUCAGGACAUAAUGUGCAGAAUCAAGCAUUGGCCUUCGGAUGAAAAGGAACAUGUUUGCCACUGUCCCCAGCAGAACAGAAAAGAGGUAGGCCUUUAAUCUUCACUUAAAUGUAUUCAUGGCCCUGUGUCCUGUCAUAUCACUGGUGCUUGAAGCAAAAUCUCCAGUUUGGAGCCUAUGCUCUGCAAAUCACCGGCUCAAGUGCAUGGUGUACUUUUAGGGUUAUUUUUUGUAUUAUUUUUGAGCAAACUAAUGACAUCUCUGUUGAUACUGAUCUGAAGGGUUUAUAGGCACUCCUGCCAAGCCGACACAACAUUUUCUUUUGGCUUGGCCUCGAUUUUUCUCCCAGCUUGACCCUCAAGGGGAGGGGGCACUGUUUGGUUGAGGGCUUGAAAAAUCCUCAUUUUUCAAAACAGCUCUUCUCUAUGUCUAUAACAGAGCUAAAUGUUUGUAGCUUAACACACAUAACGGAUUUGCUUACACAAACUACCCAAGCCCGGCAUCUCACCUCAUAAAAAUACAGUACUGCUGCUCACAUUCUAUCAUUAUAUCACAUCAUUAUAUGACAUAAUGUAGUUAUUAAUUCAUGUUUUUACCUCUGUAAGUCAUGUAUUUAAUAUAAUUAAUUUGGACAGUUAUGAAGUUAUGGAAGUACAGAAAUAGUUUUUCUUUUAAAAAAUAAGGUGAUACAUACAUGCAUUCCCUCACUGCUCUCAUUAGCUUAAUAUAUUAUAGUAGAGCUAUGUAAGGCCUGGAGCUGUACCACAUAUUAUAGUGUUUCCCUUGUUUAGUUGCCUUAUGAAUGACUCCAUCUCACCACACUGAGCCAUCCCUGCCCGAUAUUCUGUACUUCAUUAUAGUUCUGUAGCCACAUGUUUCCUAUUCCCCAUUAAAAUGUCUAAUUUUCUUAUGAUAUCAAAGACCAUAUAAAAUAAAUAUUUGUAGACUGGAAGUCAACAUGGUAACUCAAAUCACAUGGUAAAUGCCAAUUACUCAAAGGAAAUGCCAUUUUAAGUAUUCUGACAGCUAGGAAAGGCAUCUCUCCACAGGUAAAAUAUUUUUUUUAAUUCUUAUGCUGUAUCUGAGUGACAGGUUCUCAGCCCUGAAGGCUUAUGGGUGAGCUUCUAUAGUUUUUUUUGUUGUACAUUAUUUAACCAUUAUGAAUACAUCAUUGUGUCUUAGUGUGUCUUUUUUUCUUCACAGGUAUUGGACACGUUCUGCAGAAAAUAUUACGCAUAUUACAAUAAUACAGACUUUAUUAAAAAAGCAUUAUACAUGAACCUGAAAUGUAUAGAUAAACAUAACAUUUUUCAUUUUAGUUCACAGUUAAAGGCUGGAUUUGCCCAGAGUUUUCCUCUACUGGCAUGAUGUCUAUCAGAUGCUUAUAACUAUAUACCUGCUUGUGAUUGGCUCAUCUGUGUCUCAUCACCAGCAGGAAACGACUUCACUUCCUUUAAUAAUGACUUCAUACAGAAUUAUGUGCCGCCACAGUGUCUCUCGGUUUUAUGGCGUUCUUCUAGUGUAAAUGGUCCAGUUUAUUUUGAUGUCACCAACACACACACACACACACACACACACACACACAUGCACGCACAUAUACAGGUUGUGAGACAGACUACUGAGUUCAAAACACUAUGUCAUAAAUGUCCACUAACAACUGAACUGUUAUUCAGUGGUUUAUCAAAAAAAAAAAAGGAAAGAAAGAAUGCAUAGCUUUAAAUGGAGUCACAAAUUAAUAUCUUAAUAUUCCGAUUUGACAUCAUAUAUUUCCUUCAGAUAUUGGCACAGACAGUCCUAUCUCACAUUGUUAAAAGGUGUCACCUCUUAACUCCUGAUAUUCAAUCAAUUCAUACUGUUCUCUGUGUUAUGCAUUGAAAAUAAGCUUUUCUGUUUUAAAUCCCUGAAAAUGGCCUAAUAAUAUUUCAUAAAUUUAAUAAGCUUUUAAUUUUUUUUUUUAAGUUAUGAAAUAAAAUUAGUUCCCAUAGUGAACCUAUGCUUUUGGACACUAUAUAGAUAUAUCCUCUGUAGUUGUGAAGUGAAUAAAUGUCCCUGCUCUUUGUGUUAACAAGUAUGCAGCUUGUUUUUCUGGCUGGUAGUAAUGUCAAACGAAGGAAGUUGUUUCCGUAUGACUCCUCAUGCCACUCCUUAGAGCCUCUCUGUCUCUGUCAUCCACCGCAACAUAAAUCAGGUGAUUCAUGACUGCUAGAUGAUCAGUCAGCAAUGAAAAGGCUUUUCCUACAUGUAGCGUGCAUGUGCGUAUUUGUGAGUCUGUGUGCUUCAAGUUGUAUGACGGGCAAUAAAUCUCUUCCUUUAGCGCUUGGAGCGCAUGAGUGCGUCUUGGAGCCGGAGUGGCCCGAGGCGCUCUCGCUGGAACAAUGCUGAGAUCAAAGUGCUGAGCUCUGACAGCCAAUCAGUGGCUUCCCGUGGCCGAAGCAGCAGAGCAAGCCUCACACCUGUACCAGGUGAUUACAGGUAGAUCUGCCUGCCUCUAAUUGGACAAUAAAUGCAGCUCUCGGCUCACUAAUGGAGGCAGUCUGCCUCACAGACGCCAUGCUGCCAUUUGGCCGUCGCCAGCCAUACCUGAGCCUCUCUCUCUCACAGUACAGAGGAUGACAUAGUGAAAGACCAUGCAGAGCAAACAACAAGAUAAAUUACAAUCCAAGUCUUUAAUGUGAUCAGGACUGGCAGAUACACAGACACUUGUGCAUGCCUUAAGCUGUGCAUUUGGAAUUUCCUGAAAGCCUUUUUGUCAUGUCUAAAACCGGAUAUGGCUUUGGGUAUAUAACUCAGAUUUGUGACUCAGACUGAGAAAAAAAGACCUUAUUAGUUUAUUUCCUGUGUGUUGAGCACAGAUCAUGGUAGACUUUCUUUAACAUCACUACCAGUGUGAUUAUCACACAUCUCCUGCACUGUGCACAAAGUUGGCUAUGAUACAUUUUCUAGUAUUUAAUCCAAGUCAAAAAGAAGACCUUACUCCUGCGUGUGACCUUCUGGAUGCCUGACAGAAUCCUGCAUCAUGUAGCGAAAUGAUAGAGAAAGUCUCUCCCUCUCUCAGACUCUUGGCCGAUUGCUUGUUUAAGGGCUUGUAGCCAUGAAUCUAAGUUGAAUGGAGUUGAAUCUGAAGAGAUCAUUUUUGGAAAAACUGAUUUUUUUUCACUUUUAUUCCUUUUUUUUAUUGUGUAGAGAACUGUGAAUUAAAAAUGAAUAAUCUUGUAGUAAAAUAAAUCUGUUAAAACCAGUCUAAAUAAAAAGAUUUACAACAAACAUGCUUUGUUGUUGCAUUGCUCAUUUGUUGAAUGCACAUUUUAUAGAAAGGAGCAAAAAUAUGAUUAUUCAGCUGUGAAAAAAAAGUAUUUGUUGUGAGGAUAUUGUACAUGUGGCUGUCUGUCUCUUCUAAUAUUUUAAACUGUUCUUCUGUUAAAGAUGCUCCCUAAUCUCAGUUUCUCUCGAUCCAGAGCAAGAGGGCUGACAGAAAGUCAGGGGUUUGCCUUCGAAACCUCAACCACUUGUACCGCAGCUCUAAACAUUCACUAGUGCACUAGUGCAUCAAUUUACCACAACACACCCCACUGAGGAAGUAUACACACAUACACACACACACAUAUAUACACAAAUUCAUUAAUGCUGGGAUCAGAGAACCAAUACAGCUGCCUUUCAUUCUCAUCUCUCUGCUGGAGACACCCUGCUCGUGUGUGCGUGUGUGUGUGCGUGUGUGUGUGUGUGUGUGUGUGUGUGUGUGUGUGGUGGUAGUACAGUAGAGGGCAUGUGUGUGAGAAUGUGUACAUGUGCAUGUUUGAAGUCUGUUGGUGUGGCGACUGGAUGCUCGUUUGGAUGUUAGUGUAAUUGCGGUGGGGAGAUCAAAGCCUGGCAGGACAAGUGAUGUUUCAGAGGUAGUCUUUAACUAUUUCUCUCUCUCUCUCUCUCUUUCUCUCUCUCUCUCUCUCUCUCUCCCCUCCAGCCAC